rnacentral:rRNA from 1 species
GACGAACCGUCCAAACGUUAUUCGGAAUCACUGGGCUUACAGAGUUCGUAGGCGGUCUGGAAAGUUGGGUGUGAAAUCCCUCGGCUCAACCGAGGAACUGCGCUUGAAACUACCAGACUCGAGGGAGAUAGAGGAGAGCGGAACUGAUGGUGGAGCGGUGAAAUGCGUUGAUAUCAUCAGGAACACCGGUGGCGAAGGCGGCUUUCUGGGUCUUACCUGACGCUGAGGAACGAAAGCCAGGGGAGCGAACGGG